AGAAGGCAGCAAGGAAAAUAACAGGCAGGCAGGCAGGCAGGAAGGAAAGUAAAAAUGGAUGUUGUAUGAAUGAAUAAAACCCUCACUUUUAUCAGGAAAAAAAAUAAACAAAAGAUGUAGUUGGGUGUCAGAUCCAUGUGUCAAAGCUGAAUUGGCAAAUGACAUUUGGCAUCUGGACGACAUUAAAAUAUUGAUCAGUCGCAGGCAUUGUUUUAGUCCUUUCCUGGUAAUACUCUAAUUGACAGGGGUGUUGCUACGGGAAGUCUACAACGUGCAAAGGAAUGAAAAGCACGUCUUCUCCUCACUAGGACUGCAGGUCAAUGCCUGCUGUCUUCCUUUUUGGCUGCAAACUUGACCCAUCAAUCAUUCUUCUGUUCUUCCCUCAAGCUCUUCUCCAAGGAGUUCUUAGACCAGAGUCGGAGAAGGAUGGACAUAUGAUUAUAAAGCAGAGGACAUUUCGUCUAAUUCUGCUCUCAACCUGGGAGGGUGCCUGGAUUGAUGAAACAUAAAACUCAAUUUUAGCCUUAAAUGAAAAAAAAAAAAGGAAAUUGCAAUUUUAGUUGUUAGGAAAACAGCAGAAAUGCAGUAAAAUCAUCUGGUAAAAGGAGCUCCCAUUUUUCUGUUCUUACCUUUUGAUGCUCAAGAUUAGUGAAUUUAUUUAUAGAGUGUUCUAUCCACAGCUUAAUAGUUGUCAAGUUUCUUAGAAUGAGAAUUUGGGUUCAAUACUGUUUAAAUGUGAUCAUACCGCGAGGCUGUGGAAUUCCUAGGAAAACCAGUUGACGUUAGUUGAGACAGACUCGUGUUCAGGACUUCCCAGGUGGCGCUUGUGGUAAAGAAUUUGCCUGUCAAUGCUGUAGACACAGGAGAUGCUGGUUCGAUCCCAAGGUC